UCCUUGAUAUCUCAGUUAGUAUAGAAUCUGCCUGCAGUGCAGGAGACCAGGGUUCGAUUCCUGGGUCAGGAA
rnacentral:tRNA from 1 species